rnacentral:rRNA from 1 species
CACGUAGGGACCAAGCGUUGUCCGGAAUUAUUGGGCGUAAAGAGCUCGUAGGCGGUCUGUCGCGUCUGCUGUGAAACUCAGGGCUUAACCCUGAGCUUGCAGUGGGUACGGGCAGACUAGAGUGCGGUAGGGGAGACUGGAAUUCCUGGUGUAGCGGUGAAAUGCGCAGAUAUCAGGAGGAACACCGGUGGCGAAGGCGGGUCUCUGGGCCGUAACUGACGC